UACGAAGGGGGCUAGCGUUGCUCGGAAUGACUGGGCGUAAAGGGCGCGUAGGCGGCUUGCACCGUCAGAUGUGAAAUUCCUGGGCUUAACCUGGGGGCUGCAUUUGAUACGUGUGGGCUUGAGUGCGGAAGAGGGUCGUGGAAUUCCCAGUGUAGAGGUGAAAUUCGUAGAUAUUGGGAAGAACACCGGUGGCGAAGGCGGCGACCUGGUCCGUGACUGAUGCUGAGGCGCGAAAGCUAGGGGAGCAAACGGG
rnacentral:rRNA from 1 species